rnacentral:rRNA from 1 species
AUUGAACGCUGGCGGAAUGCUUUACACAUGCAAGUCGAACGGUAACAGGUUAAGCUGACGAGUGGCGAACGGGUGAGUAAUACAUCGGAACGUGCCCAGUCGUGGGGGAUAACGUAGAGAAAUUUACGCUAAUACCGCAUACGAUCUAAGGAUGAAAGCGGGGGACCGUAAGGCCUCGCGCGAUUGGAGCGGCCGAUGUCAGAUUAGGUAGUUGGUGGGGUAAAGGCCUACCAAGCCGACGAUCUGUAGCUGGUCUGAGAGGACGACCAGCCACACUGGGACUGAGACACGGCCCAGACUCCUACGGGAGGCAGCAGUGGGGAAUUUUGGACAAUGGGCGCAAGCCUGAUCCAGCCAUUCCGCGUGCAGGAUGAAGGCCCUCGGGUUGUAAACUGCUUUUGUACGGAACGAAAAGGUUUGGGCUAAUAAGCUGAGCUCAUGACGGUACCGUAAGAAUAAGCACCGGCUAACUACGUGCCAGCAGCCGCCGUAA